rnacentral:misc_RNA from 1 species
GAUGAAGAACGUAGCGAAAUGCGAUACUUGGUGUGAAUUGCAGAAUCCCGUGAACCAUCGAGUCUUUGAACGCAAGUUGCGCCCGAAGCCAUUAGGCCGAGGGCACGCCUGCCUGGGCGUCACACGUCGUUGCCCCCCCCAUCUACUCCUUCGGGAUUGCGGGGGGCGGAUGAUGGCCUCCCGUGCGCCUCGCCGCGCGGUUGGCAUAAAUGCCAAGUCCUCGGCGACGCACGCCACGACAAUCGGUGGUUGCGAAACCUCGGUUGCCCGUCGUGUGCGGUCGUCGCGCGUCGAGGGCUCGAAAAAAUUGCCGAGUUCCGGCUCGGCUUUCAACGCGACCCCAGGUCAGGCGGGGUUACCCGCUGAAUUUAAGCAUAUCAAUAAGCGGAGGA